rnacentral:tmRNA from 1 species
GGGGAUGAUACGGUUUCGACAGGGAGGUUGGACAUCAUAGUUGCGUGCCGAGGCGCCGCUGGCCUCGUAAAAAGCGGCAAAACAAGAAACGCAAAUAACGAAUUUGCAGUAGCAGCUUAAGCCUGCUCGUCCUGCUGCGGCAUUCCCGCGGCUUCAGACAGGGCGAAAAAAAGCGGGAUAGUGACCUGAGCUUUAUCCGCAGAGCGAAGGGAGCGAAACCAAUUGCGGAAAAGUGAACAAGAUCCUGCUGCUGGGGGAUUGAACACUUACCAAAACAGACAGCUACGCAUGUAGACGCUGUUUUGCCCCCCUUUUUGGACGCGGGUUCGAUUCCCGCCAUCUCCACCA